UACGUAGGGUGCGAGCGUUGUCCGGAAUUAUUGGGCGUAAAGGGCUCGUAGGCGGUCUGUUGCGUCGGGAGUGAAAACUCAGGGCUUAACCCUGAGCCUGCUUCCGAUACGGGCAGACUAGAGGUAUGCAGGGGAGAACGGAAUUCCUGGUGUAGCGGUGAAAUGCGCAGAUAUCAGGAGGAAUACCAGUGGCGAAGGCGGCUGCCUGGCCUGUUCUUGACGCUGAGGCGCGAAAGCUGGGGGAGCAAACGGG
rnacentral:rRNA from 1 species